AACGAACGCUGGCGGCAGGCCUAACACAUGCAAGUCGAACGCCCGUAGCAAUACGGGGAGUGGCAGACGGGUGAGUAACGCGUGGGAACGUGCCCUUGGUUCGGAAUAACUCAGGGAAACUUGAGCUAAUACCGGGAUACGUCCGUAAGGAGAAAGAUUUAUCGCCGAAGGAUCGGCCCGCGUCGGAUUAGCUAGUUGGUGAGGUAACGGCCCACCAAGGCGACGAUCCGUAGCUGGUCUGAGAGGANGAUCAGCCACACUGGGACUGAGACACGGCCAGACUCCUACGGGAGGCAGCAGUGGGGAAUAUUGCGCAAUGGGCGAAAGCCUGACGC
rnacentral:rRNA from 1 species